UACGAAGGGGGCUAGCGUUGCUCGGAAUCACUGGGCGUAAAGGGCGCGUAGGCGGCGUUUUUAAGUCGGGGGUGAAAGCCUGUGGCUCAACCACAGAAUGGCCUUCGAUACUGGGACGUUGAGUAUGGUAGAGGUUGGUGGAACUGCGAGUGUAGAGGUGAAAAUUCGUAGAUAUUCGCAAGAACACCGGUGGCGAAGGCGGCCAACUGGACCAUUCUGACGCUGAGG
rnacentral:rRNA from 1 species